AUUGAACGCUGGCGGCAUGCCUUACACAUGCAAGUCGAACGGCAGCACGGGAGCAAUCCUGGUGGCGAGUGGCGAACGGGUGAGUAAUAUAUCGGAACGUGCCCAGUAGUGGGGGAUAACUGCUCGAAAGAGCAGCUAAUACCGCAUACGACCUGAGGGUGAAAGGGGGGGAUCGCAAGACCUCUCGCUAUUGGAGCGGCCGAUAUCAGAUUAGCUAGUUGGUGGGGUAAAGGCCUACCAAGGCAACGAUCUGUAGUUGGUCUGAGAGGACGCCCAGCCACACUGGGACUGAGACACGGCCCAGACUCUUACGGGAGGCAGCAGUGGGGAAUUUUGGACAAUGGGCGCAAGCCUGAUCCAGCAAUGCCGCGUGCAGGAAGAAGGCCUUCGGGUUGUAAACUGCUUUUGUCAGGAAAGAAAUCCUCUAGGUUAAUACCCUUGGGGGGAUGACGGUACCUGAAGAAUAAGCACCGGCUAACUACGUGCCAGCCGCCGCCGUAAAAC
rnacentral:rRNA from 1 species